rnacentral:sRNA from 20 species
UAAUUUGUGAGGAGUAGAGAUCCUCCGCAGUGGAAACAAGGAAACACUCAGCCUGAUCUCACGA